AGUUUAGUGUUGUUGUGCUAUGAAAUAUUGUCUCUCACCACCUUCUCCGCUGCGGCCUUUGCAAUCAUCUCAGAUUAUAUAAUGAUUAAGGUUCAGAUCUUGAUUCAAGGCUGCAAGAGAAUGGGUUAAAGUAAAAAGGUUUUGGUGGAAAUGUUGCUACCAUAAUCUUCUCAAUCAAUUUGUAGGUGGAAAUCACAUCAGAGCUUGGAG